ACGGGGGCCCGCACAAGCAGUGGAGUAUGUGGUUUAAUUCGAAGCAACGCGAAGAACCUUUACCAGGGCUUGACAUCCCUUGAAGCAGCUAGAGAUAGCUGUGUCCUUCGGGACAAGGAGACAGGUGGUGCAUGGUUGUCGUCAGCUCGUGUCGUGAGGUGUUGGGUUAAGUCCCGCAACGAGCGCAACCCCUAUUGUUAGUUGCCAUCAUUCAGUUGGGCACUCUAGCGAGACUGCCGGUAAUAAACCGGAGGAAGGUGGGGAUGACGUCAAAUCAUCAUGCCCCUUAUGACCUGGGCUACACACGUGCUACAAUGGUUGGUACAACGAGUUGCGAGUCGGUGACGGCGAGCUAAUCUCUUAAAGCCAAUCUCAGUUCGGAUUGUAGGCUGCAACUCGCCUACAUGAAGUCGGAAUCGCUAGUAAUCGCGGAUCAGCACGCCGCGGUGAAUACGUUCCCGGGCCUU
rnacentral:rRNA from 1 species